rnacentral:rRNA from 1 species
UGGGGAAUAUUGGACAAUGGGCGCAAGCCUGAUCCAGCAAUGCCGCGUGGGUGAAGAAGGUCUUCGGAUUGUAAAGCCCUUUCGGCGGGGACGAUGAUGACGGUACCCGUAGAAGAAGCCCCGGCUAACUUCGUGCCAGCAGCCGCGGUAAUACGAAGGGGGCUAGCGUUGCUCGGAUUGACUGGGCGUAAAGGGCGCGUAGGCGGUUCGUACAGUCAGACGUGAAAUUCCUGGGCUCAACCUGGGGGCUGCGUUUGAUACGUGCGGACUUGAGUGCGGAAGAGGGUCGUGGAAUUCCCAGUGUAGAGGUGAAAUUCGUAGAUAUUGGGAAGAACACCGGUGGCGAAGGCGGCGACCUGGUCCGAUACUGACGCUGAGGCGCGAAAAGCGUGGGGAGCAAACAGGAUUAGAUACC